rnacentral:rRNA from 1 species
GGGGAAUAUUGGACAAUGGGCGAAAGCCUGAUCCAGCCAUGCCGCGUGAGUGAUGAAGGCCCUAGGGUUGUAAAGCUCUUUCAGCGGGGAAGAUAAUGACGGUACCCGCAGAAGAAGCCCCGGCUAACUUCGUGCCAGCAGCCGCGGUAAUACGAAGGGGGCUAGCGUUGUUCGGAAUUACUGGGCGUAAAGGGCGCGUAGGCGGAUUUGCAAGUUAGGGGUGAAAUCCCGGGGCUCAACCCCGGAACUGCCUCUAAAACUGCUAAUCUAGAGUUCGGGAGAGGUGAGUGGAAUUCCGAGUGUAGAGGUGAAAUUCGUAGAUAUUCGGAGGAACACCAGUGGCGAAGGCGGCUCACUGGCCCGAAACUGACGCUGAGGCGCGAAAGCGUGGGGAGCAAAC